rnacentral:piRNA from 1 species
UGGACCUAUAAUUAAAUCUGUAAACUUCCCA